AAACAAGAUAUCUUACCAGCUUGGGUGGAACAUCGGCCAAAGACAUUGUCCACAGAAUCAUGAGGGAAAUAAUAACCAAUGAGUUGGCCAACAAUUUUAAUUGGCAAGGGAGAGGACAGAAGAGCCCAUUUUCUACACUCUUGCUAGCAAAAGUUGUUAUAGAUGCAGCCAAAAAACAAGGAGCAAAAGUGGUGGAAGCCGAGGAAAAAAUAAAAACCUGACUGAAGUAUAGUGGAGACCGAAAUGGAGGAAGAAAAAAAAGAGCAACAGAAAAAGAAAAGCAGAAGCCUCAAGCAGAUUCCAGCAGCUGUGAAAGUGAAUGAGUAUGCUGCUACUUCUCCUCCGCUCCGUCUUCAUCAUCAGAGCCACACACAAUCUCUAAUUUGCUUCAAAAAACUCUGCAGAAUAUGGAAGAGAAUCUGCACAUUUUCUCAUUAAACUGCAAUAAGUUAAUUUUGUUACCAAUAAAUUCAUUUUUAUAACCAA